AACUAGUUGACUUGACGGAGUUGUGUAGUACAAAAAUUAUAAACACAAGUAUUCAGUACUGUCUGUACAUGGCAAACCUUGGGCCCGCGUAUUAAAAUGGAAGAUGAGGCUACAACGAGUGGAAGAAGCUGGAAGAUGAGGUUCCUUGACCUGCAAUGGAAGAAAAGAAAAGAAAAAUGCUCUCAGACUACCAACAUUUCCAAAUUACACAAAGACUUCGUUCAAUAUUGAAGAAAAUAUAGUGUCAGUGUAAGGUAAGGAAUAAGGCAAA